rnacentral:rRNA from 1 species
AUUGAACGCUGGCGGCAGGCUUAACACAUGCAAGUCGAGCGAGCGGCGGACGGGUGAGUAAUGUCUGGGAAACUGCCUGAUGUCUGUGGAUUACUACUGGAAACGGUAGCUAAUACCGCAUACCAUCGGAUGUGCCGAGAUGGGAUUGGAUAGUAGGUGGGGUGUUGGCUUACCUAGGCGACGAUCCCUAGCUGGUCUGAGAGGAUGACAAGCCGCACGGGAACUGAGACACGGACCAUACUCCUACGGGAGGCAGCGGUGGGGAAUAUUGCACAAUGGGCGCAAGCAUGAUGCAGCCAUGCCGCGUGUGUGAGGAAGGCCUUCAGGUUGUAAAGCUCUUUCAGCGAGGAGGCGUUACUGGCAAAAGAAGCGCCGGCUAACUCCGUGCCAGCAGCCGCGGUAAUUC